rnacentral:rRNA from 1 species
GGCGNUAAUCAUAAACGCAGAACCUACCAGGCCNGACAAAAACGGACACGUAGANAAGCGGUUCNGCUGCAGUCGGAAACAGGGGCGCAUGGGCNGUCGUCAGCUCGGCUGGGAAGUGGUUGGGGGUAAGUCCCGCAACGAGCGCAACCCCUUNGUCUGGUGCCAGCAUGUAAUGAUGGGGGACUCAGACAAUACUGCCGGUGACAAACCGGAGGAAGGUGGGGACGACGUCAAGUCAUCAUGGCCCUUAUGUCCUGGGCUACACACGUGCUUACAAUGGCAGGUACAGAGCGGUGCAAAACAGUGAUGGUUGAGCAAAUCGCAGAAAGCUUGCCUCAGUUCGGAUUGGAGUCUGAAACUCGACUCCAUGAAGGUGGAAUCGCUAGUAAUCGCGCAUCAGCAUGGCGCGGUGAAUACGUUCCCGGGCCUUGUACACACCGCCCGUCACACCACCCGAGUUGGGGGUACCCGAAGUCGUUAGUCUAACCUGCAAAGGGGGACGACGCCGAAGGUAUGCUUGGUAAGGGGGGUGAAGUCGUUAACAAGGUA